ensembl:snRNA U6 U6 spliceosomal RNA
GUGCUCGCUUCGGCAGCACAUAUACUAAAAUUGGAAUGAUACAAAAAGAUUAGCAUGGCCCCUGUGCAAGGAUGACACGCAAAUUUGUGAAGCAUUCCAUAUUUUU